CCGUCAGAGAACUCCGGCGAUUUUUGG
rnacentral:piRNA from 1 species